CCUACGGGUGGCAGCAGUGGGGAAUAUUGGACAAUGGGGGCAACCCUGAUCCAGCCAUGCCGCGUGUGUGAAGAAGGCCCUCGGGUUGUAAAGCACUUUCAGUGAGGAAGAACGCCUGGUGGUUAAUACCCAUCAGGAAAGACAUCACUCACAGAAGAAGCACCGGCUAACUCCGUGCCAGCAGCCGCGGUAAUACGGAGGGUGCGAGCGUUAAUCGGAAUUACUGGGCGUAAAGCGCGCGUAGGUGGCUUGAUAAGCCGGUUGUGAAAGCCCCAGGCUCAACCUGGGAACGGCAUCCGGAACUGUCAAGCUAGAGUGCAGGAGAGGAAGGUAGAAUUCCCGGUGUAGCGGUGAAAUGCGUAGAGAUCGGGAGGAAUACCAGUGGCGAAGGCGGCCUUCUGGACUGACACUGACACUGAGGUGCGAAAGCGUGGGUAGCAAACAGGAUUAGAUACCCUAGUAGUC
rnacentral:rRNA from 1 species